rnacentral:rRNA from 1 species
GAUGAACGCUGGCGGCGUGCCUAAUACAUGCAAGUCGAGCGAACAGACGAGGAGCUUGCUCCUCUGACGUUAGCGGCGGACGGGUGAGUAACACGUGGAUAACCUACCUAUAAGACUGGGAUAACUUCGGGAAACCGGAGCUAAUACCGGAUAAUAUAUUGAACCGCAUGGUUCAAUAGUGAAAGACGGUUUUGCUGUCACUUAUCGAUGGAUCCGCGCCGCAUUAGCUAGUUGGUAAGGUAACGGCUUACCAAGGCAACGAUGCGUAGCCGACCUGAGAGGGUGAUCGGCCACACUGGAACUGAGACACGGUCAAGACUCCUACGGGAGGCAGCAGUAGGGAAUCUUCCGCAAUGGGCGAAAGCCUGACGGAGCAACGCCGCGUGAGUGAUGAAGGUCUUCGGAUCGUAAAACUCUGUUAUUAGGGAAGAACAAAUGUGUAAGUAACUAUGCACGUCUUGACGGUACCUAAUCAGAAAGCCACGGCUAACUACGUG